rnacentral:tRNA from 1 species
GGGCUCGUAGCUCAGUCUGGCUAGAGCAUUCGGCUCUUAACCGAAAGGUCUGGGGUUCAAAUCCCUGCGAGCCCG